UACGUAGGGUGCAAGCGUUAAUCGGAAUUACUGGGCGUAAAGCGUGCGCAGGCGGUUUUGUAAGUCUGUCGUGAAAGCCCCGGGCUCAACCUGGGAAUUGCAUUUGAGACUGCUCUGCUCGGGUGCGGAAGAGGGAAGCGGAAUUUCCGGUGUAGCGGUGAAAUGCGUAGAUAUCGGAAGGAACACCAGUGGCGAAAGCGGCUUCCUGGUCCGACACCGACGUUCAGGCACGAAAAGCGUGGGGGAGCAAACAGG
rnacentral:rRNA from 1 species